UCGGGAAUUUUGGACAAUGGGCGAAAGCCUGAUCCAGCCAUGCCGCGUGUGUGAAGAAGGUCUUCGGAUUGUAAAGCACUUUAAGUUGGGAGGAAGGGCAGUUACCUAAUACGUGAUUGUUUUGACGUUACCGACAGAAUAAGCACCGGCUAACUCUGUGCCAGCAGCCGCGGUAAUACAGAGGGUGCAAGCGUUAAUCGGAAUUACUGGGCGUAAAGCGCGCGUAGGUGGUUAGUUAAGUUGGAUGUGAAAUCCCCGGGCUCAACCUGGGAACUGCAUUCAAAACUGACUGACUAGAGUAUGGUAGAGGGUGGUGGAAUUUCCUGUGUAGCGGUGAAAUGCGUAGAUAUAGGAAGGAACACCAGUGGCGAAGGCGACCACCUGGACUGAUACUGACACUGAGGUGCGAAAGCGUGGGGAGCAAACAGGAUUAGAUACCCCCGUAGUCCCUGAGCGGGCUGGCAAGGCGCAU
rnacentral:rRNA from 1 species